rnacentral:sRNA from 1 species
UACGCGAUGCCGAAUUCGGGUCGCGGAUUAACCACUCGCUGAUAUCAGGAGAUUGAUCAUGACU